UACGUAGGGUGCAAGCGUUAAUCGGAAUUACUGGGCGUAAAGCGUGCGCAGGCGGCUUUGCAAGACAGAUGUGAAAUCCCCGGGCUUAACCUGGGAACUGCAUUUGUGACUGCAUGGCUGGAGUGCGGCAGAGGGGGAUGGAAUUCCGCGUGUAGCAGUGAAAUGCGUAGAUAUGUGGAGGAAUACCGAUGGCGAAGGCAGCCCCCUGGGCCAAUACUGACGCUCAUGCACGAAAGCGUGGGGAGCAAACAGG
rnacentral:rRNA from 1 species